UCCAGGAUGGCCGAGUGGUUAUGGCAUCAGACUUCUGAUCUGAGUCUCACAUCGUGAGCGCAGGUUCGAUUCCUGCUCCUGGGA
rnacentral:tRNA from 1 species